CCCUUGUCCUGUGUUGCUAACCCCUUAAAAGGUGCACUCUCAGGAGACCGCCAGCGAUAAGCUGGAGGAAGGUGGGGAUGACGUCAAGUCAUCAUGGCCUUUAUGUCCAGGGCUACACACGUGCUACAAUGGACGGUACAAAGCGCUGCAAACUCGCGAGAGGGAGCCAAUCGCAAAAAACCGUUCUCAGUUCGGAUUGCAGGCUGCAACUCGCCUGCAUGAAGCUGGAAUCGCUAGUAAUGGCGUAUCAGAACGACGCCGUGAAUACGUUCCCGGGCCUUGUACACACCGCCCGU
rnacentral:rRNA from 1 species